CCAGAGAGUGAAUGAUUAACUUUCCAAAAUGAGUUUUGAGGAUUUUUUUUUUUAAAAUAGCGUUCAAAGGUACAACCAGAAAAUUUUAGCCCAGGGCCAAUUGUAGGAGUGUCUUCCUGUUCCCUCCCCCCAUGCCCAGGUCGAGACAAGGGCAGGGAAGGGCAUGUGGAGGCCCUUCCCGGCCCAGCCCCCGCUCCCUGGUGCCUGCCAAGCAGGAAGAGCCCAGGCCUCCACCUGGAGCCGGAGUCCGGCGUCUCUCCUGCCACUCGCAGGAAUGCACAAAGAACAUGAUUCCGCCCACAUCCAUCCGGCGACCUUGGGCGCCUCCAGCUGCUCCUGGGCGGAAUGGGUUUAGGAGACCUGCCGAACAGGCGCCGGGCGCACAGACGGAAUCGCAGAGCUCGGCGCGCUCCCGGACACUGCUCGCCCACCCACCCUCUCCACUCUCCUCCCUCGGCGCCUGGGGUGGGGGGAGGCUCUCCGUGGACACCGGCCAAGGGCAAGGAGCCCCAAACAGCACGGCUUGCUUAGCCCUUCCGAGUGUAACGGUGCUGGCAGGCGGCUGCGUCCCGCGGAGCCCCCAGCUCUGCCUCCCCGGUGCCAUCAGUAUUCGCGCCUGAAAAGAAGGACCCCAGGAAGCGUCGGGGUUUCAAAUCGCCUUUCUGGCCUCGGGGGCGCAGCCUCUCCCGGCGGCAGAGCCCAAGAGCCCCGCAGUGCCCCGCUGGGCCUCGGCCUCCGGCCCCGGCGACCUUCUCGCGGGCGGCACUCGUGGGUUGGGUCCUGACAGCAGAUUCCUGGGUACGAAGUCUGUGGACAGAAGACAGAAGCUCACAAAAGAAAGCUACGCUGUCAAAAAUAAAGUGGGCUGGAUGAGAGGGAAGGAAUGGUAAUGACCCAGAGACAGAAGGGACAGAAGCGGCUACCGGGCCCACCGUGCCUCUCUCCUUGCUGCAGGAAGAUGACCCCUACAGACAGCCUGCGAUGCAAGGAAGAGUGAAAUAUCAAGUGUGACAGAGUCCUGCAGUGGAACAUUAUACGGUAGAGAAAAGGAGCAACCUACUUCCACUGCAUUCGCACAGGAGUCUCUAAUGCGUAGUGGACAACAAGACAAUCACAGAAGACUUCAUUCCGGACGAUUCUGCGUGAAGCUCAGAAACAGGCGAACUAAAAGCGCAUUGUUUUGGAGGUUUGUAGGCCACAUUCUGGUGAUUCUGACUUCAUCUCUUUUUCAUGUUCUGAUUUACAAUGGAGAUGCAUGUUACAACCCGGGGUAUCUUACAGUCGCAUGUAGCAGCUCUUCUCUUAGACAAGCAAUACUGAUGCAUCGCACAUCGCUGGGGGCUGAAGUUCAGCCAAACCCAGCAGGUGGGAAAACCUCACAGAAGAGUGGCAGGGUGGCUGGGGUACCAUUGCAGCAGCCAUAGGACGCCUGCUUUCCUUCCCCUCCCACUGUAGAAAUGGCUGCUCUCACUGCUGACUUGGGGACUAAUCAGAUUUAUGUUUAACCUGGCAGAUAAAUUACGCUUGCUUGCGCAUUCCAGACACCAGCCUUGAGAAAGCUGGCGGAGGCUGCAAAGUCAUCUGGCUCUGGCCAACAUGAGAGCAGACCGGCUUUAUGGCUGCGGGAGGAAGGGAACCACGCUGGCUCCCACCUGCCCCUUAUCGCCUGGCAGCUGGCCUUGUCCUUUGUUCCUUUUGUUCCUGGACCCUUCCAGCUCCCUUUCGUGUUCCCUUCAAAAGCCCGCCUGCUAGCCUGAGAACUGGACCACUGGGCCCCCACCUCCCAGGAUUGCCAGUGUCUUAAAUGCACCUGACCGCCUUGCAGCAUGUCUCCUGAGCAGCCUUGCUCCUGAUAGCCACAAUGGCCAGAGCUGGGCCAAUCUGAAGCCAGAAGCCAGGAGCCAAGAGCUUCUUCCGGGUCUCCCACGUGGGUGCAGGGGCCCAAGGACUUGGGCCAUCUUCUACUGCUUUCCCAGGCCACAGCAGAGAGCUGGAUCGCAAGUGGAGCAGCCGGGACUCGAUGAAAGAUCUCUCUCUCUCUCUCUCUCUCUCUGCCUUCCAAAUAAAUAAAAGUAAACUUUAAAAAU